rnacentral:rRNA from 2 species
ACUAUACAUGCAAGUCGAACGAACUCUGGUAUUGAUUGGUGCUUGCAUCAUGAUUUACAUUUGAGUGAGUGGCGAACUGGUGAGUAACACGUGGGAAACCUGCCCAGAAGCGGGGGAUAACACCUGGAAACAGAUGCUAAUACCGCAUAACAACUUGGACCGCAUGGUCCGAGUUUGAAAGAUGGCUUCGGCUAUCACUUUUGGAUGGUCCCGCGGCGUAUUAGCUAGAUGGUGGGGUAACGGCUCACCAUGGCAAUGAUACGUAGCCGACCUGAGAGGGUAAUCGGCCACAUUGGGACUGAGACACGGCCCAAACUCCUACGGGAGGCAGCAGUAGGGAAUCUUCCACAAUGGACGAAAGUCUGAUGGAGCAACGCCGCGUGAGUGAAGAAGGGUUUCGGCUCGUAAAACUCUGUUGUUAAAGAAGAACAUAUCUGAGAGUAACUGUUCAGGUAUUGACGGUAUUUAACCAGAAAGCCACGGCUAACUACGUGCCAGCAGCCGCGGUAAUACGUAGGUGGCAAGCGUUGUCCGGAUUUAUUGGGCGUAAAGCGAGCGCAGGCGGUUUUUUAAGUCUGAUGUGAAAGCCUUCGGCUCAACCGAAGAAGUGCAUCGGAAACUGGGAAACUUGAGUGCAGAAGAGGACAGUGGAACUCCAUGUGUAGCGGUGAAAUGCGUAGAUAUAUGGAAGAACACCAGUGGCGAAGGCGGCUGUCUGGUCUGUAACUGACGCUGAGGCUCGAAAGUAUGGGUAGCAAACAGGAUUAGAUACCCUGGUAGUCCAUACCGUAAACGAUGAAUGCUAAGUGUUGGAGGGUUUCCGCCCUUCAGUGCUGCAGC